rnacentral:lncRNA from 1 species
AAAGGAUUGAAGUAACAGAUCUGUAGACCCAGAGGCCUGACAGUGUGGUUGUGUAAAAUUGUUGGUGUUGGUGUCUUGGGCUCAGGAGAUUCCACAGGUAACCUCUCAAAUGUUGUCUCCACAGGAAGGACCUAACCGUCUUAGGAGGUUUAUUUUCAUGAGGCCUGCAAGAAUCCAAGUAAAUAAAGCUAAACCUUCACUACUGAAAAACAGCUUCUAGACAACUCAUGUAUCAUAUACUUUAUAUCCUUGCAUGGAUUCUCCAAAUCUAGUCUCUGAGAUCAGUGGUCAGCCCUGUUUUCUGCUGGGAUAAACCUUGUGGAAGAUCUCUUCAUGCACAAAGUGACACAGAUGAAGAAAAUGAAGUACAACAAAAUCAAGCUCUUCGGCACAGGCUUCCAGGCACCAAGAGAUUUGGGACUAGCAUACAGAUCCACCACCCCACAAACUUACCUUUAUCACAGUUACAUAUUAAGAAUUUUAUAUUUGUACAUCUUAAUGCACCUUGUUUUGUAGGGCUGAUUGAAGACUUUUUUUGCCCUCUGGCGACAUUGUAACUGUGAAAGCAAUGGACGAAUAAAG